rnacentral:lncRNA from 1 species
ACCUAAACCCUUGCUAGAACCACCCCCACUAAGUAAAACACCAAAAACACAAGACCAUGAACCUAAUCGCAGAGACUCAUCUACAUAAACACACCCAAAUGGGAACUAGAAACCUGUCUGAAUCCCUCAUCUGGACAAGAGCAUGAAACUACAAAGUAAACUAACAACAAUACACAACACAAACCAAACUUUUUCGUAUUUCUUAGAAAGAAGAGCAAAACAAAACCCUAGAUCUGAGAUCUAGAAUCCUCCACAAGAUUGAGGACAAAAUGUUCUAUGUAUAUAUAUAAUAUAUAUACACAUGACCUCAUAGGUUAAAGGGUGCAUCAAUAACCCUUGACCAUGAUGAAAAC